UUUCUUUUCUCAUUUUAUUCUUUUUUUUUCAUAAGGAAUAUGUAUUGUCAUCCUUCUUUUCUUUUUCCACUUUUUUUUUUUCAUUUUUUCCAUUAUUUUAUUUUAUUUUAUUUUUUGUCAACCUUUGAAACAUCACAACUAUAUUAAUUCAACCUCACACAACUCCAAACAAAACUCUUCCAACCAUUUGAAUAGGGUGAUACCAUUGUUUUUCACUUUUCGACUUGUAAUGAAU
rnacentral:lncRNA from 1 species